AUGACACUGUACAAGGCUGCAGCGUACGAAAAGGUCCAGAUUCACCUACCAAGUAUGCCAGGAACUUGCGUAGCUGUGAUCUGGGGCUUGCAGAGGUGGAGGCUAGGGGUGGAUGGCAGAGUCGAGACCCUGUCACCUGCUCUGACUCAGCCACCUACUGCAUCUGCCUCCCUGGGACAAGCAGUCACACUCACUUGCGCCCUGAGCAGUGGCUACAGCAACUACGAUGUAGACUGGUACCAGCAGAGCCCAGGGAAGGGCCCCAGGUUUGUGAUGCGAGUAGGCACUAGUGGUAUUUCAGGAUCCAAAGGGGAUGGAAUCCUUGAUCGCUUCUCAGGUUCAGGCUCUGGCCUGGAUCGGUUCCUGACCAUCUAG